rnacentral:lncRNA from 1 species
UUCAUGAUGAAGACCUCUAUCAAAGAGCUAAAAAUCAUGAUAUCUGGCUUCAGAUCUCUUACAUGGAGGGGAGUAGGCAGGAGGCAGCCCCAGCCAACUCAGACAUGAACACUUGUAACCUCUCAGUGAACCCCAGAAGCAGUCUAUCCAAAAACAGUUUCCUUUUGGCCUUAUUGGGAGUUGUUUGUAUCCUCUUGUGGAAUAGGAGAGGUCGGGGUGAUUUGUACAAGUGGAGCCUGGGGACAAUGUGUCUCUGUCUCUGCUCUGACAUCCCAGGUCCAGAGUGAACACAAAAACAACAAAACAGGGGGGAAAAUAAAUCUCUACUUUUGAGUGGGAUUCAUGCAGCUACCCAAUGGCUGCCAGCAAUGCCAAGGAACUCUGGUCAGAGCAAGGAUACGGCCUGCCCCGCGUGACAGAUGUCAGAUACCUAACACAGAAAACCCUGGUUCAGCUUUGCAUUACCGGCUAUGGCAAAACUAAGCUCUUCAUCACUCUCAGCCUGCUUCCAAAAAGAAAACCUAUGCAGAAUGAGUAGGAAGAGGAGCAGUUUUUUUAACCAGGACUUCAAGGAUUGUGAAGAGCUGGGAUCAAUGUGUAAAGGAUUUUCAGGCCUUAAUACCUCCUUAUCCUAACACAGUGCUCCUAUCUCCAAGGCCUGGUACAGGUUGCUCCUGUUACGAGAGUUAUAAACUUGGGCUGUUUAUACAUUGCUUACCACGGAAGAUGAAAUGCUGAAGUAAAUCUGGAGGCAGUACCUCUCCUUGACGUUGCUUGUUCCUCAGCCUGAAUUUAAUGAAUGCUAGAUGCUAGUCCAGAAGGUGAAGGCUCUUGAGGGAAGAAGCAGUGACUGACUGACAUCACCAGCUGAAUCAAAGGGAGAAAUAUGGCAAGCCACCAUGAGCAGGCUGCAAGCCAUGCAGGACAAUGACCAGGGAGAACUCUGUGCCCAGUCCCUGUGGGCACAUGCUGACCCAUCCAGGAGGAUGAAAAAAUACAGAAAAGUUUCCAAGAAUUGCUGCCUCCAGUACAUAAUGAAGUACACUGCUGUGUGCAAUGUGUUGGAGAGUAGCCUCAAAGUUGAAAUUCCAGGCUUUGCUUUUGAAGAGAGAGAUUGUGGUGCUUCAGUAUGACAGGGACUGCUAUUAGAAGCACAAAGGAUCAAACUGCGAUCAAAUCAAAAAAAAAGAUGAAAUGAUUUAAGAAGAAGCAUUAGCAAGCAAUUUAUUUAAAUAUCACACCUGGAUCAUCUCUCUCCUCCCCCAGAUGUCAGAGAUCUCUGGCAGAGAUGUAGCUGGUGAUAUACUGCCUCUGAAUCUUUCUGUCUCUGGAUCCCAUCACAAGACAACAUCCAGUGACAGCAGCCUGUAUCGAAAUGUCACAUAUGUCUUACAGUCACGCUCAUGUUUCUGGACUGGAUUAAAAUAAUUAUGUGGGGAACAGAGCUAGCGGACAGCAGUCCAUAUUUUUCUGCAGUCUAGCUGCAAGUGGCAGGUUGUAAUGGCAGGUGCAUGCUUGGGAUUAACAGAUAAAGGUAAUGUGUUAACGCAUCAAUCCCUAUAAAAUUGUUGCCUUGCUAGAUCAAGCAAGCUGUCUCCCUGUGAAAGCAGUUACUUCAGUGAAAGAAGCUAUAUGAGAUGUUUUGCCGACAGAAAACAUGCCAAUUGCAAAUCUUACCUCCCCACACCUCCAGCCAAUAUUACUAAAACAUGGAUCUGUCAUAUUGGCAACAUUAGUAAGGUGUUUUUUUUUUUUUUAUGUCUCACACCUCCUCACCUCUAAAUAACACUUGGGACAAGUUUGUUUGCUUCCUGCAUAUGCAAAAUGAUUAAUCCUCACCUAGUGGAAAAAAAAAAAAAAAAAAGAAGAAGGAGGAGAGGGCACAAGCAAACCAGCAUGUAAACACUGAUAGAUUUCAUUUAUUUUCAUUAUAGUCAAGUUUUCACUCCUUCCCCCUGAAAAGUUUUUUUUUCUUUCUGAGCUGGUAGUGAGAGGGUGCAUUAAACACAUUAAACAUGAAGAGGUGGUUAGCUUUACCUGUUAGCUUGAUCAUGUCAGUAAUACCUUCCUUGAAUAGCUACCACAUUGCUUCAUCCUACCCUCAGUAGUUCUAACCUCAUUUUAAAUGUUGUUUGUGCCUGAGAUUGGUUCAAUAAACCACUGCUGCAAGAGCA